CCAAACGGGAUUGCCUCAGUAACGGCGAGUGAAGCGGCAACGAGCUCAGAUUUGAAAUCCGGCAGGCCGUAUGGUUGCCCGAGUUGUAUCUGGAGAUAGGGCUUCGGNUUAGGCAUUGGUCAAGAUUCCUUGGAAUAGGAUGACACAGAGGGUGAGAAUCCCGUACCUGGCUGACCGCCGACACCAUGUGAAGCCUCUUCGACGAGUCGAGUUGUUUGGGAAUGCAGCUCUAAAUGGGUGGUAAAUUCCAUCUAAAGCUAAUUAUCUGCGAGAGACCGAUAGCGCACAAGUAGAGUGAUCGAAAGAUGAAAAGCACUUUGAAAAGAGAGUUAAAAAGUACGUGAAAUUGUUGAAAGGGAAGCGCUU
rnacentral:rRNA from 1 species